rnacentral:rRNA from 1 species
GUGGGGAAUCUUCCACAAUGGACGAAAGUCUGAUGGAGCAACGCCGCGUGAGUGAAGAAGGGUUUCGGCUCGUAAAGCUCUGUUGUCGGGGACGAAUGUGCAGUAUUUGAAUAAAGUACUGUAAUGACGGUACCUGACGAGGAAGCCACGGCUAACUACGUGCCAGCAGCCGCGGUAAUACGUAGGUGGCAAGCGUUGUCCGGAAUUAUUGGGCGUAAAGGGAGCGCAGGCGGGAAGGUAAGUCGGUCUUAAAAGUGCGGGGCUCAACCCCGUGAUGGGACAGAAACUGGUAUUCUUGAGUGUCGGAGAGGAAAGUGGAAUUCCAAGUGUAGCGGUGAAAUGCGUAGAGAUUUGGAAGAACACCAGUGGCGAAGGCGACUUUCUGGACGAUGUCUGACGCUGAGGCGCGAAAGCUAGGGGAGCGAACGGGAUUAGAAACCCCUGUAGUCC